rnacentral:lncRNA from 1 species
UCGGAUCAGGGCCAUGACUUCGGUUUUUUGUUCUUUAGUGAGGCCGGCAUUGAGACUGAAGACCUUAUCUAUCUCUGCUUCUAAUAAAGGAAAAGUCUCCAGCUCUCCUACCGGCUCCGUUCUGAUUUCUUUCUCCUCAUCCCUGAUCUCUAGUACCUCUGAGUCGAGUCUCUCUGCUACCGAGCUCGGCUCUACCACUGUUGCUAUAUAUACCGCUCUCGCCUCUUUCUGGUUACC